UCUUAGUCUUCCGCUGGCCGGUGACUGG
rnacentral:sRNA from 1 species